rnacentral:rRNA from 1 species
UGCGAGUCUGAGCAUUAGCUCGGCGUACCGCUCAGUAACACGUGGGUAACCUGCCCUACUGUUCGGAAUAACCUCGGGAAACUGAGAACAAUGCCGAAUAGUCCACUACGCCUGGAACGGUGGGUGGAUGAAGGUAGGAUGGGCCUGCGGCGUAUCAGGUUGUAGGGGGUGUAAUGGACCUCCUAGCCAUCGACGCGUACGGGUGUUGGGAGACAUAGCCCGGAGAUGGAUUCUGAGACACGAAUCCAGGCCCUACGGGGCGCAGCAGUUACGAAAACUUGGCAAUGCGGGAAACCGUGACCAGGGAACUCCAAGUGAGUCUCUUUUAGGGGCUCUUUUCAUGACUCUAAAACGGUCUUGGAAUAAGGGGUGGGUAAGGACGGUGCCAGCCGCCGCGGUAAUACCGGCGCCUCAAGUGGUCGUCGCUUUUAUUGGGCCUAAAACGUCCGUAGCCGGUUUGGUACAUUCGUGGGUAAAUCAACUCGCUCAACGAGUUGAAUUCUGCGAAGACGGCCAGACUAAGGACCGGGAGAGGUGUGGGGAACUCUCAGGGUAGGGGUAAAAUCCUGUCAUCCUGAGAGGACCACCUGUUGCGAAAGCGCCACACUAGAACGGAUCCGACGGUCAGGGACGAAGCCUAAGGGCACGAACCGGAUUAGAUACCCGGGUAGUCCUAGGUGUAAACGCUGUGGACUUGGUGUUGGGGAAGACUAGAGCUUUUCCAGUGCCGUAGCGAAAGUGUUGAGUCCACUGCCUGGGGAGUACGGUCGCAAAGGCUGAAACUUAAAGGAAUUGGCGGGGG